AUGAAGCUCCCCGAGGCACUCCGCUUUGUGCUCGCACUGCUGUUGCUCCGGCCGGCGACAACGGUGGGUUUACAAAGAAGCCAAGAAGCGAACAGGGUGGUUCCUUCCACUGCCACGCUCGCCGAUUGUCCAAGGAGUUGUGGCAACCUGAGCAUCGACUACCCUUUCGGCAUCGGAUCCGGCUGCUCCCGGCAGCCGGACUUCGACCUUCGCUGCGUCGAGAACAGCUCCGCGCAGGCUGCUGCUCCCAGGCUUUUCUUGCAAGACGGAGUCACGGAGAUCAUCUCCGAUGUCUCUGGUACAGAUCAGAACACGGAUUUUCUUGCAGCAUUUUCCCAUGUCAUCUCCUUGAGAUCUGACGCCGACGUGUACAACAUAUCCUGGUUUCCUGGGAAAUCUUUUCUUUUUCUUCCGGUCAUCAUACUCAACAUAACAGGCUGCAACUUCGACGCCUACAUGCUCGAACGUUCCUCCAACACGAUGGUGGGGAGUUGUACAGUGACAUGCCCUACAGAAGGCAUCACGGAUGCGGUGGCUAGACAGACCUGCAACGGUACAGGAUGCUGCUCCGUCGUCAUCGAGAACAUGGUCACCAGCCUCCAAUUCAGAUUUGUCCGUCGGAGGAUAGGGAAGCUGAAACUGGAGGGAAAGAGUACCCGUGGCCUCCUGUGGGAUACAAUUAAUAUAACCAGUGAUCACGCUGCUCUGUCCUGGGUAAUACGAGACGAUCAACAAUCAUCGGCCGGCAGCUUGCAAAAUAGGUCAGACUAUGCAUGUCGCAGCAACCACAGCGGAUAUACACAGUCCAACGAGUUAUCAUUUCUCGGCUAUCUCUGUUUCUGCGAUAGUGGUUACCAAGGCAAUCCCUAUAUACUGGAUGGCUGCUCCCGUGAUAGAGGUUUCGAUCCGUAUCAACGGAGGAAUAAUUGCUCCAGGAUGUGUGGGAAUAUUAGUGUUCCUUUUCCCUUUGGCAUAGAAUACGGUUGUUUUGGAAGGAAGUUAUUUCAGCUCAACUGUACAAACCCUACAACGUCUACGCUGCAAUUCAACAGCGGUCCGACAAUAAUCGUGCCCACUGUGAAGUACAUAAAUAUUAAUGAGGGGCUAUUGGAUGUUUACUACGAAACACCAUUUGACGACAGGAUGAUGAGUAUAUCUGAAGGACCUCAACUGUACAGCUCUAGUUCUUCCGGGCAAUCCGCUUCUCUGCACUGGGCAGUUGCAAAUUUAACAUGCCAAGAAGCACAACAGAACGUAUCAGGAUAUGCAUGCGUUAGCACAAAUAGUACAUGCUUGGGCGUUGUUUACUCUGAAAGAGGAGGCCCACUUGGUUACCGUUGCACAUGUGUAACAGGCUUCGACGGGAAUCCAUAUACCACGAAUGGGUGUCAAGACGUUGACGAGUGCCAGACACUGAUGUGUAAAUCGACGAAAGGGCAAAGUCUUCCACUAGGUAUCGCUAUUGGGAUCAGCGUUGCCUCUGGCAUUCUACUCUUCAUCUUAAGUGCAAAUUUUAUUGUCCGGAGAUGGAAAAGAGGCAUCCAAAAGAAACUUAGAAGGAAGUAUUUUAGAACGAACCAAGGACUUCUCCUGGAACAGCUUAUUUCAGGAGAUGAAAAUGCAAAUGACACAACCAAGAUUUUCUCACUGGCAGAGUUAGAGAAGGCAACAAAUAACUUUGACCCUACACGUAUAGUUGGCCGCGGAGGGCAUGGCAUGGUAUACAAAGGCAUCUUAUCUGAUCAACGUGUAGUGGCCAUUAAAAAGUCUAAAGUCAUAGCACAAAUUGAGAUUACUCAGUUCAUCAACGAGGUUGCUAUUCUCUCACAGAUAAACCACCGAAAUAUUGUGAAGCUCUUUGGAUGUUGCCUUGAGACUGAGGUCCCACUAUUGGUGUAUGACUUCAUACCUAAUGGUUCAUUAUUUGGUGUUCUUCAUAAUCCAAACAGCAACUCUUCCUUGUCGUGGGAUGAUUGCUUAAGAAUUGCUAUAGAAGCAGCUGGAGCACUUUCUUACCUUCAUUCAGCUGCUUCUGUAUCAAUCUUUCAUCGUGAUGUGAAGUCGACAAACAUACUCCUGGAUGGGAAUUAUACAGCAAAGGUAUCAGACUUUGGUGCUUCGAGGUUGGUUCCUAUUGACCAGACCCAUGUUAUGACGAAUAUACAAGGUACAUUUGGGUACUUGGAUCCAGAAUAUUAUCACACUGGCAUUUUAAAUGAGAAGAGUGAUGUGUACAGUUUUGGUGCGGUACUUGUGGAGUUGCUCCUUCGAAAGGAGCCUAUUUUUACCACUGACUCCGGGCUAAAGCAAAACUUAUCCAAUUACUUCCUUUGGGAGAUAAGGGAGAAACCACUUGCUGAAAUUGUAGCUGCUCACGUUCUCGAGGAAGCAACCGAGGAAGAGAUUAGUGGUGUAGCCGGUGUUGCGGAGAUCUGUUUACGUCUUCGAGGUGAAGAAAGACCUACUAUGAAACAAGUCGAGAUGAAAUUGCAGCAUCUGCGAUUGGAGAGGUUGAGAAUGCGCGAGCUUGCUGCAAAAGACCAAGACAUUCAACCUCUGUCGACAGUACAAAGCCAAGUUGCUCAUCGGUCUUUAGCCACUGCAGGUCGGAAGGUGGGAAGCUCAAAUUCAUCUUCCGAGAGAAGCCAAAACUGUUAUAGCUUGGAGCAAGAAUUUAUGUCAUCAGCGACUCUACCACGCUAG
rnacentral:rRNA from 1 species